CCCUAGUAACGGCGAGUGAAGCGGCAACAGCUCAAAUUUGAAAUCUGGCCUUCUGGUCCGAAUUGUAAUUUGUAGAGGAUGACUUUGGUUAGGUACCUUCCGAGUUCCUUGGAACAGGACGCCUUAGAGGGUGAGAGCCCCGUACGGUUGGAUGCCGAUCCUUUGUAAGUCUCCUUCGACGAGUCGAGUAGUUUGGGAAUGCUGCUCUAAAUGGGAGGUAAAUUUCUUCUAAAGCUAAAUACCGGCCAGAGACCGAUAGCGCACAAGUAGAGUGAUCGAAAGAUGAAAAGCACUUUGAAAAGAGGGUUAAAUAGUACGUGAAAUUGUUGAAAGGGAAGGGUUUAUGACCAGACCUUUGCGUUGGGAAUCAUCCGGUGUUCUCACCGGUGCACUUCCCUUCGUUGAGGCCAGCAUCAGUUCUAGUUGGGGGAUAAAGACAUUAGGAAUGUGAUUCCUCCGGGAAUGUUAUAGCCUUUUGUGUAAUACCCUGACCGGGACUGAGGACCGCGCUUCGGCUAGGAUGCUGGCAUAAUGGUCAUCAGCCACCCGUCUUGAAACACGGACCAAGGAGUCGAACAUUUAUGCGAGUGUUUGGGUGUUAAACCCUCACGCGUAAUGAAAGUGAACGGAGGUGAGAGCCCUUACGGGUGCAUCAUCGACCGAUCCUGAUGUCUUCGGAUGGAUUUGAGUAAGAGCAUAACUGUUCGGACCCGAAAGAUGGUGAACUAUGCGUGGAUAGGGUGAAGCCAGAGGAAACUCUGGUGGAGGCUCGCAGCGGUUCUGACGUGCAAAUCGAUCGUCAAAUCUGCGCAUGGGGGCGAAAGACUAAUCG
rnacentral:rRNA from 1 species